AUGAGCCAGACCCGGCCCAAAGCCGGGUUUUCGCCGUAAUCGGCAGCUUGAUCGCUUGAAUUACGCUAAAUGGUGGUGCUUGCGCACCCGUCGUGUUCAGGCGCAAUCUAGAUGCAAAUGAUCCGCCCCUUUUCAGGAGAUUUUUCGACCAUGUCCGAUGCGUUUCAAGCAUUGAGCCGCCGUCUGUUGCCGCUGGCCGCGGCUGUCGGCUUCGCCAUCGUAGCGACGCCGGCGCUGGCCCGCGGACCGGAA
rnacentral:misc_RNA from 1 species